rnacentral:rRNA from 1 species
AUUGAACGCUGGCGGCAGGCCUAACACAUGCAAGUCGAACGAGUGGCGGACGGGUGAGUUAUGUCUGGGAAACUGCGCGAUGGAGGGGGAUCACUACUGGAAACGGUCGAUAAUACCGCAUACCCUCGGAUGUGCCCAGAUGGGAUUAGCUAGUAGGUGGGGUAACGGCUAACCUAGGCGACGAUCCCUAGCUGGUUUGAGAGGAUGACCAGCCACACUGGAACUGAGACACGGUCCAGACUCCUACGGGAGGCAGCAGUGGGGAAGAUUGCACAAUGGGCGCAAGCCUGAUGCAGCCAUGCCGCGUGUAUGAAGAAGGCCCUCGGGUUGUAAAGUACUUUCAGCGAGGAGGCGUUACUCGCAGAAGAAGCACCGGCUAACUCCGUGCCAGCCGCCGCGGUAAUAC